rnacentral:rRNA from 1 species
UACGGAGGGUGCAAGCGUUGCUCGGAAUCACUGGGCGUAAAGCGACCGCAGGCGGUCUGACAAGUCGGAUGUGAAAGCCCUGGGCUCAACUCAGGAACAGCAUUCGAAACUGGCAGACUCGAGUACGGGAGAGGGGGGUGGAAUUCCUGGUGUAGGGGGUGAAAUUCGUUGAUAUCAGGAGGAACACCGGCGGCGAAGGCGGCCCCCUGGCCCGCACCUGACGCUCAUGGUCGAAAGCGUGGGGAGCAAACAGG